UAGGCGUCUUGUCGAAGCUUUGAGCGUGAGCCUGAGUAGAAAGGCGUCUAGUGCAGAUCUUGGUGGUAGUAGCAAUUAUUCAAAUGAGAACUUUGAAGGCCGAAGUGGAGAAGGUUUCCAUGAGAACAGCAAUUGGUCAUGGGUGACUCGGUCCUAAGAUAUUGGUAAACACCUUGCAAAUGAGCUUCGGCUCGCGAUCGAAGAAGGGAAAAUGAGGUUAAUAUUCCUCAAGCUGGCUAUGGAUGUCACGGUAACGUUUGUGAGCUCGGUGACACCAGCGCGUGCCUCUGAAAGAGUUAUCUUUUCUUUCCUAACAGUCAAGCGACCCUGAAAUCGGAUUAUCCGGAGAUGAGGGUUGUAAGGCUGGAAUAGUGUAUGUUUCUUGAUACAAAUUAGAUGCGCUCGCGAUGGUCCUUGAAACCCGAGUGAGGUAAUUAUUCCAUACCAGGCCGUACCAAUAACCGCAUCAGGUCUCCAAGGUUAGCAGCCUCUGGUCGAUUAG
rnacentral:rRNA from 1 species